UGGGGAAUUUUGGACAAUGGGCGAAAGCCUGAUCCAGCAAUGCCGCGUGUGUGAAGAAGGCCUUCGGGUUGUAAAGCACUUUUGUCCGGAAAGAAAUCCUUGGCUCUAAUACAGUCGGGGGAUGACGGUACCGGAAGAAUAAGCACCGGCUAACUACGUGCCAGCAGCCGCGGUAAUACGUAGGGUGCAAGCGUUAAUCGGAAUUACUGGGCGUAACGCGUGCGCAGGCGGUUUGCUAAGACCGAUGUGAAAUCCCCGGGCUCAACCUGGGAACUGCAUUGGCGACUGGCAGGCUAGAGUAUGGCAGAGGGGGGUAGAAUUCCACGUGUAGCAGUGAAAUGCGUAGAGAUGUGGAGGAAUACCGAUGGCGAAGGCAGCCCCCUGGGCCAAUACUGACGCUCAUGCACGAAAGCGUGGGGAGCAAACAGGAUUAGAUACCCUGGUAGUCCACGCCCUAAACGAUGUCAACUAGUUGUUGGGGAUUCAUUUCCUUAGUAACGUAGCUAACGCGUGAAGUUGACCGCCUGGGGAGUACGGUCGCAAGAUUAAAACUUAAAGGAAUUGACGGGGUCAUAGCUGUUUCCU
rnacentral:rRNA from 1 species